AGACAUCCGAUUGUGUAACUAACAUCUGCAGCCAAGCUCCAGUUUUUUUUGUACAUACUUUUUCUUCUUAGUCCUACAAAUCUCUUUUAAAAAGAGAUUAACGGACAGGCUAAAUUUACGGACAGGCUAAAUUUAAGGACAAACUAAAAUUUAAGGAUGGGCCAGAAUUGAGGGCAAUAUGGUUUUUUUUAAUUUAAAUUCUAAGUGGAAAACGUCUUCCGUGCUGUUUCUCCAGUUCCCGAGUCCCAAUCUAGGCGCAGAUAUACCGCUCCACCCAAUUUAGGACCUGACGUCGCCAUUUUCCUCCAUCCACAGGACUCGACCAUUUCAUCGAGAAGCCGCCAGGACAGAUAAGAACUUUUUUUAUACUCUCUAUCCUUUUAUGAAUCAGUCAAAGUAAGACAGAAAUACAUAUUACCUACAUAAAUUUUUAUAUAAGCGUUAUAAUAAUCUUUUGAUGAAACAUACUCAAUGCACGCAUUUAUAAAUAUCUAUAUAUAAUAUGUUUAUUUAAAAUAUGAAAUUGUUACGCUAAAGCAUAGUACUAUGAAUAAGCGAGAUUUGGAGUAACUCCAAUAACAUAAACGUGUUCUUUAUCCUAAUUACAUAUUGUUUCUCAAAUUAAUAAUCGCUUGGAACAUUAAAUUAAUCACUUUAUAACCCUAUCAUUCUUUAGUAGGUAUUAUAUAUCUGAUUUCACUAAUACGAAUUAUUUCUUUAUAAAAUGUUCUUAUAUUUGUCUGAAGCGAAUAACCAUUGGUCUGAGAUUUAGAAUAAAUAUUUUUGUUUUUUUA